rnacentral:lncRNA from 1 species
UUGGGAAAAUGAGGAGCAAAACGACACCGUAAGGUUCUUCCGGACAACAUUCAGGGAAUUACGAAGCCGGCAAUCCGCCGGCUUGCACGACGUGGUGGCGUGAAGCUUUAAUACGGUCUGAUUUAUGAAGAGACACGUGUCGUGUUGAAGAUAUUCUUGGAGAAUGUGAUAAGAGACACGGUUACGUACGCGGAGCAUGCAAGGAGGAAGACUGUUACUGCCAUGGAUGUUUAUGCGUUGAAGAGGCAGGGGCAUACGCUGUAUGUUUUGGUGGUUAGGAGGUUUGUUAGUGGUAGUUGUGUAAUUGAAGUUUGUUUGGGAAUCAAGUGAUUUUGAAUGGAUUUUGCUUU